GAUUCUGGCUCAGGAUAAACGCUGGCGGCGCACAUAAGACAUGCAAGUCGAACGAACUUAAUCUUUAGUUUACUAUUAGAAGCGGUUAGUGGCGGACUGGUGAGUAACGCGUAAGCAAUCUGCCUAUCAGAGGGGGAACAACAGUGAGAAAUCACUGCUAAUACCGCAUAUGCUGUGAGUAUGGCGUCAUACAAACAGGAAAGGAGCAAUCCGCUGAUAGAUGAGCUUGCGUCUGAUUAACUAGUUGGUGGGGUAACGGCCUACCAAGGUGAUGAUCAGUAGCCGGACUGAGAGGUUAAACGGCCACAUUGGGACUGAGAUACGGCCCAGACUCCUACGGGAGGCAGCAGUCGGGAAUAUUGCGCAAUGGAGGAAACUCUGACGCAAGUGACGCCGCGUGCAGGAUGAAGGUUUUCGGAUUGUAAACUGCUUUAGAUAGGGAAGAAACAAAUGACGGUACCUAUAGAAUAAGCUCCGGCUAACUACGUGCCAGCCGCAGC
rnacentral:rRNA from 1 species